rnacentral:rRNA from 1 species
UACGUAGGGGUGCAAGCGUUGUCCGGAAUUAUUGGGCGUAAAGAGCUCGUAGGCGGCCUGUCGCGUCGGCUGUGAAAACCCGAGGGCUCCAACCCGUCGGCCUGGCAGUCGGAUACGGGCAGGGCUAGAGUCCGGCAGGGGAGACUGGAAUUCCUGGUGUAGCGGUGAAAUGCGCAGAUAUCAGGAGGAACACCGAUGGCGAAGGCAGGUCUCUGGGCAUUAACUGACGCUGAGGAGCGAAAGCAUGGGGAGCGAACAGG